rnacentral:rRNA from 2 species
AGCAGCCGCGGUAAUUCCAGCUCCAAUAGCGUAUAUUAAAGUUGUUGCAGUUAAAAAGCUCGUAGUUGAAUUUCGGGAUCAAGGAAUCGGUCAUGCCUUGGUAUGUACUGGUUUUAUUGGUUCUCACCUUCUAAAGAACCAUAAUGUCAUUUAUUUGAUGUUAUGGGGAAUUAGGACUGUUACCUUGAAAAAUUAGAGUGUUUAAAGCAAGCUUACGCUUGAAUACAUUAGCAUGGAAUAAUGAAAUAGGACAUCAGAUUCUAUUUUGUUGGUUUCUAGGAUCGAUGUAAUGAUUAAUAGGGAUAGUUGGGGGCAUUAGUAUUCAAUUGUCAGAGGUGAAAUUCUUGGAUUUAUUGAAGACUAACUACUGCGAAAGCAUUUGCCAAGGAUGUUUUCAUUAAUCAAGAACGAAAGUUAGGGGAUCGAAGACGAUCAGAUACCGUCGUAGUC